AUGAACGCUGGCGGCGUGCCUAAUACAUGCAAGUCGAGCGCACAGACGAGGAGCUUGCUCCUCUGACGUUAGCGGCGGACGGGUGAGUAACACGUGGAUAACCUACCUAUAAGACUGGGAUAACUUCGGGAAGCCGGAGCUAAUACCGGAUAAUAUAUUGAACCGCAUGGUUCAAUAGUGAAAGACGGUUUUGCUGUCACUUAUAGAUGGAUCCGCGCCGCAUUAGCUAGUUGGUAAGGUAACGGCUUACCAAGGCGACGAUGCGUAGCCGACCUGAGAGGGUGAUCGGCCACACUGGAACUGAGACACGGUCCAGACUCCUACGGGAGGCAGCAGUAGGGAAUCUUCCGCAAUGGGCGAAAGCCUGACGGAGCAACGCCGCGUGAGUGAUGAAGGUCUUCGGAUCGUAAAACUCUGUUAUUAGGGAAGAACAAAUGUGUAAGUAACUAUGCACGUCUUGACGGUACCUAAUCAGAAAGCCACGGCUAACUACGUG
rnacentral:rRNA from 1 species